AUGCCCAAGCAAGAUGCAAGCCCAUCGCAUCAAGCUGUUCAGAGGCGUUCGAGCCCCACCGCCCCCUCCAGCCUAGUUACCAUCACACAUCGGGGGGAGCUGCAGCUGCGGCAGCCGGCCGGGUCACCGUGAGCAGCGAAGCCGAGACCCAGCAGCCGCCACCCGCCCCCGCCCCCAGCGCUGCGGACACCCAGCCCCGCACCACGGGCAGCGGCGCAGGGAGCGGUGGCCCGGACGGUGCCUGCCGGCGGGGACAAGAAGGUCAUCGCAACGAAGGUUUUGGGGACAGUAAAAUGGUUCAAUGUAAGAAACGGAUAUGGUUUCAUCAACAGGAAUGACACCAACGAUGUAUCUGUACACCAGACUGCCCUAAAGAAGAAUAAUAACCCCAGGAAGUACCUUCGCAGAGCAGGAGAUGGAGAAACUGUGCAGUUUGAUGUGGUUGAAGGAGAAAAGGGUGCGGAGGCGGCAAAUGUUACAGGCCCUGGUGGGAUUCCAGUUCAAGGCAGUCAAUAUGCCUCAGACCGUAACCAUCACAGACGCUCUCCACGUCGCAGGGGUCCCCCACGCAAUUACCAGCAGAGUUACCAGAACAGUGAGAGUGGGGAAAAGAAUGAGGGAUCGGAGAGCGCUCCUGAGGGCCAGGCCCAACAACGCCGCCUACCGCGGGCGAAGGUUCCCGCCUUGCUACACGCGGAGACCCUAUGGGCGGCGACCACAGCAUCCCAACCCUCCUGUGCAGGGAGAAGUGAUGGGGGGUGCUGACAACCAGGGUGCAGGAGAACAAGGUAGACCACCAGUAAGACAGAAUAUGGAUCGCGGUUAUAGACCACGAUUCCGCAGGGGCCCUCCUCGCCAAAGACAGCCCAGAGAGGACGGCAGUGAAGAGGAUACAGAGAAUCAAGUAGAUGAGACCCAAGGUCAGCAGCCGCCUCAACGUCGGUACCGCCGCAACUUCAAUGACCGACGCAGACGCCCAGAAAACCAUAAACCACAAGACGGCAGAGACAAAAGCAGCCGAUCCACCAGCUGAGAAUUCGUCCUGAGGCUGCGCAAGGCGGAGCUGAGUAA